rnacentral:rRNA from 1 species
AUGAACGCUGGCGGCGUGCCUAAUACAUGCAAGUCGAGCGAACAGACGAGGAGCUUGCUCCUCCGACGUUAGCGGCGGACGGGUGAGUAACACGUGGAUAACCUACCUAUAAGACUGGGAUAACUUCGGGAAACCGGAGCUAAUACCGGAUAAUAUAUUGAACCGCAUGGUUCAAUAGUGAAAGACGGUUUUGCUGUCACUUAUAGAUGGAUCCGCGCCGCAUUAGCUAGUUGGUAAGGUAACGGCUUACCAAGGCGACGAUGCGUAGCCGACCUGAGAGGGUGAUCGGCCACACUGGAACUGAGACACGGUCCAGACUCCUACGGGAGGCAGCAGUAGGGAAUCUUCCGCAAUGGGCGAAAGCCUGACGGAGCAACGCCGCGUGAGUGAUGAAGGUCUUCGGAUCGUAAAACUCUGUUAUUAGGGAAGAACAAAUGUGUAAGUAACUAUGCACGUCUUGACGGUACCUAAUCAGAAAGCCACGGCUAACUACGUG